GCAUAGGGUCACAGGGUGAAUUUCACUUGUUCACUCUGUAACCUCAUUAAAAGUAGGCUUUUCCAAGCUAAAUUAUAACAAGCAAGAAGCAGCUUUCUGAGGCCAGCAUGUGGCAUGGCCAAAUAUGAUGGAAGAGUGACACAAAGAAGCAACCAGUGGUGACAGCCAGCUUCUCCAGUGGGAAAACAAAUGCUCUUUUAGGAGUUGGACAUCAUGAUCUCUGGAGAAGUUCCAGAAAGGGUGUCUAUAAUAGCCAGUGAGGCUGGAACAG